rnacentral:tRNA from 1 species
GGAGAGGUGGCCGAGUGGUUGAAGGCGAUGGUCUCGAAAACCAUUGUACGGGAAACCGUACCGGGGGUUCAAAUCCCUCCCUCUCCGCCA